UGGGGAAUUUUGGACAAUGGGCGAAAGCCUGAUCCAGCAAUGCCGCGUGCAGGAUGAAGGCCCUCGGGUUGUAAACUGCUUUUGUACGGAACGAAAAGCCUGGGGCUAAUAUCCCCGGGUCAUGACGGUACCGUAAGAAUAAGCACCGGCUAACUACGUGCCAGCAGCCGCGGUAAUACGUAGGGUGCAAGCGUUAAUCGGAAUUACUGGGCGUAAAGCGUGCGCAGGCGGUUUUGUAAGACAGUGGUGAAAUCCCCGGGCUCAACCUGGGAACUGCCAUUGUGACUGCAAGGCUAGAGUGCGGCAGAGGGGGAUGGAAUUCCGCGUGUAGCAGUGAAAUGCGUAGAUAUGCGGAGGAACACCGAUGGCGAAGGCAAUCCCCUGGGCCUGCACUGACGCUCAUGCACGAAAGCGUGGGGAGCAAACA
rnacentral:rRNA from 1 species